UACGAAGGGGGGCUAGCGUUGCUCGGAAUCACUGGGCGUAAAGCGCACGUAGGCGGCUUUUUUAAGUCAGGGGGUGAAAUCCUGGAGCUUAACUCCAGAACUGCCUUUGAUACUGAGGAGCUAGAGUCCGGAAGAGGUGAGUGGAACUGCGAGUGUAGAGGUGAAAUUCGUAGAUAUUCGCAAGAACACCAGUGGCGAAGGCGGCUCACUGGUCCGGUACUGACGCUGAGGUGCGAAAGCGUGGGGAGCAAACAGG
rnacentral:rRNA from 1 species